AAAGAAAAAGAAACGAAAAAAGAAGAAGAAGAAAAAGAAAAAAUCCUUAGUCGGUCUUAUUUUUUCGACUCUACCUCCUUGGGUCAUUCAUUUAUUGAGCAAUAAAUUUUUGGAUUCCGAUUUGGCAUUUCUGCAUUAUC
rnacentral:ribozyme from 14 species